rnacentral:rRNA from 1 species
GCGCAGCAGGCGAGAAACUUCACAAUGUGCGAAAGCACGAUGAGGGAAUCCCAAGUGCUUGCACGUAAGUGUAAGCUGUUUCUCUGUCUAAAACGCAGAGAGAGUAAGGGCUGGGUAAGACGGGUGCCAGCCGCCGCGGUAAUACCUGCAGCCCAAGUGGUGACCGUUAUUAUUGGGCCUAAAACGUCCGUAGCCGGUUUAAUAAAUGCCUGGGGUAAAUUGUGUAGCUUAACUAUACGAAUUCCGGGUAGACUGUUAAACUUGAGACCGGGAGAAGUUAGAGGUACUCCUGGGGUAGAGGUGAAAUUCUGUAAUCCUAGGGGACCACCAGUGGCGAAGGCGUCUAACUAGAACGGGUCUGACGGUGAGGGACGAAGCCCUGGGGCGCAAACGGGAUUAGAUACCCGUGUAGU